rnacentral:lncRNA from 1 species
CCCAGGCAUUAAUAAGAGGAAGGUAGCUGUGGUGUAUUGUAUUCCACACAAGAAGCGAACUGAAAGAAUCCACAACCCCCGAUUUUAAACAUAGAGAAACAACACAGAAACUGCAUCAUUAAUUGCACAUAUAAUUUACAUUCUUUUUAUACGUAUAGACAAUAGCAGGAAGCUUCCUCUUUCUUUUUCCAUGACUAUGUGUCUGUAUCUGCUUGUGGCUCAACAUCUUUUCAAUCUUCGUGUUCAUGUGCGAUAGAUCUGUCUCCAUACGUACACGUCCUCCCCAAGCUUUCUCUGCCUCAUUCUUCAUCUGUACUGUACUCUGUUUUUUCUACUCUUUCUUCAUUCUUCUGCCAUACGUACUCCGUUGAAUUCUGCCGGGACCCUAGCUUACCC